ACUCACUUGAGUAGCAUAUACUAAAAUCAGAACAAAUAGAAAAAAUUAGUUUGGCGCCUGCACAAGAAUAACAUGCAAAUUUGUGAAGCACUCUGUAUUUUU